rnacentral:lncRNA from 1 species
CUGCCAUCAAAAUCGCGACCAAUUUUGUUAUAGAUGGCUUUGGCAAUAGUCGUUUUACCAACGCCCCCCAUGCCUUUUAUCCCAAGUAUCAGAACAUCUUUUGUCUUUUGAAUGUUUGAUUCUUCAAUCAACUUUUGCACACGAGGUUCUACUCCCACUGGAUGUGCUGCAACGAACAACUCUGUCUUAUCUAAUAAACGAGUAACGUGUUCAACAAUUCUUUUGAUAUCUUCACUUUCAUUCCUAUAAAAUAUAAAGAGCAGAGAUAAGCAGCAAAGUCAGUCAUUAUUAAAAGGAAAUAUUAUUAGAGUUGUUAAUAGUUGGGAUUUAAGUUAGUAAUAGUAGAUGGAUAUUUAAGAGAUUAGUUGGUAAUAUCCAUAUAAAUAAGAUGGCUCUUGUAUUAUGUAACAACAACUUACACAACAACUUCACACAUAAUAUUAUCUUUUUAUUCUACUAUCUCACUCCUGCCUCACUCUCAAAGUAGUCUUAUUACUCCUUUUCGACAUGACCAGAAACGCUGGUCCAAGACACAAGCGUCUUCCUUCUUCCUCUGCGUCACCGCACACCGCUCACAUCUUCCCUAACCAGAGCAGAAGUCCUGUUCCUCCUUUUCGUCAUGAGAGGCCCACGCUGCACCUCUCUCUUCCUUUGUCUUCCUCUGCGUCUGCGUCACACACCUCUUCUUCUGCGUUAUGACACUGCACGCCUCUUCCUCAACCGUCUCAUCGAAACUUAUCAAAGUUGGAGAUUAUUGACUAGUUUGCGGGGGCAUAUUAAAAUAUUAUUAGAGUUGUUAGUAGUUAGAAAUUAAGUUAGUAAUGGCUAGUAGUUACUAGUUAGCAUAUCAAUAUUUAUGAGAUUAAUUAAUAAUAUCCUUGUAAAUAAGAUGGCUCUUGUACCAUGUAACAACAACUUCAAACAUAAUAUUAUCUUCUUAUUCUACAAAAAUUUAACAGUUAUCACAUUAGCACAAGAUGAAAUAAUCGAUUACAAAACUCUAAACUAGCUACCAAAUAAUGUAUGUGUGUAUGAGACUUUUAAAUACAAAUACCUGGAGUUGAUCACAGUCGUCCCUGAAAAGCUACUAACUUCACGAAGAUCUGUUCUCCAACUUUGCACCUUAUCUUCUUCAACUGAUCUUCGACUUAUAAGACUUUCAAAAGCUUUCCCAAAGUCACUCUCUUUCUUUUGAUAACGUACAUCUGAGGGAUCUACUUCAUAGAAUAUAGGGUAAACCACUUGACCUUUUGUUCUAUGGCAUACCAUGAUAUUCUCAAGCUCUUGCAGGCACCAUUUUGAAUCAGCAUAGUGGGUUGAGAAAACAACGACAGAACAUGCAGACAAUCCAAUUGCUUUUAACAAUGCAAUUGAAAUCCGUUCUCCCCUUUGAAGUCCAUCAACAUCAUCAUCAUCCUUGAAAGCAGCAAUUCCAGCAUUUUGGAGAGAUGUAUGGAGAUGUGAUGUAAACGUUGUACGAGUGUCCUUGCCUCGAAAACUCACGAAAACAUCGUAAAUCCUUCGCUGCAAAAUAAUUAUAAUAAGAAAAAGGUUAAAAUCAUAUAUUGGAUAAUAAGAAAACAUAGUAAUGUAUACCAAGGAAUGCUAGAGGGUCAUCACAUUAGUUAGCCCUUAAUGUUUAAAAAUAUGGACUAAAGUAUGUUGUUGGAUUAAUAGACUAAAGGAUUUGGAUUAAUGGCUAAAAGUGAUGCUAAAACCAAUAAAUUAUGAUCACUGUCUAGCAUUUCUUAUAUAUACCGGAGCAUCAGUUUGUGAUUGCUCUCGAACGAUAUUUCUUCCCAUCUCUCGCAGCAAAGGAUGCAUUUGAACUCUGUCUUUCUCAUCAAAUUUUAUAAAAUUCCGCUCUUCAAGGAAACUAAUUCCAUGUUCUCUAAUUCCAAAGCCAUAAUUUAGUGUUUUCAGUACCUCCUCCCUUUCCAUGCCAAUACAAAAGCUAGCUAUGUCAAGAAAUAUUUCUUUCUGUUUGUCAUCAUCUAAGGCAUCAAAGCUUAGUCUCAAAACAUCUAAUAUAUCCUUAGGGGAAGACCCUUUCAGUCGACCUAAUACAUUCUCCCACUCGUCUUUCAUCUUUCCAAACAAUUGACUACCACUUAGUUUAAGGGUCAAUGGCAAUCCCCCACAAUAUUUAACUACAUCAUCUGCAAGUCUAGCAAACUCUGUUAAAGGAGUUGCUUUCCCAAAUGCAUUCCAACAAAAAAGUUCAAGAGCUUCAUCGUAAUUCAUUUCUGUCAUUUGGUACACAUAAUCAACUCCAAUCAUAUGAAGCAGAUUUCUAUCUCUUGUUGUGAUGAUUAUUAUACUCCCUGCACCAAACCAUUCUCGACUACCGCACAAGGCAUUCAACUGGUCUAUAUUAUUUACAUCAUCAAGUACAAGAAAUACGCUUUCCAGGCGAAGUUUUUCCCUUAAUAAAGCUACUCCUGAUGCGAUGUUUUGUAUGUUUAUCUGUGCUUUGCAAAUACCAUUCAAUAACUGUUCUUGCAGAAAAACCUGUUGGUUAUUCUCCCACAUCUCCUGAAUGUUUGGGAGGAACAUUGGCCUAUCAAAAUCGUGACGAAUUUGAUUAUAAACACUUUUCGCAAUAGUUGUUUUACCCACUCCUCCCAUCCCCCAUAUCCCCAUUAACACGACAUCUUCUGGUUUAUGCGAAUGUAACUGUUGAAUCACAUCUUCCGUGCGAGAUUGCACUGCCACUGGAUGCCUUGCGAUGAACAAGUCUUCCGAAGCAAGUAGAGUAGUUAUAUGUUCAACAAUCUCUCCGAUAAUUUCAACUUCAUUACUGCAAAAAUCAACCAACGAUUUACGUAAGUAACGAUUGUAACUUUUUCCAAUGAAUUCAACUAAACUAAUAAAACUAAUGUAUUUGUGGAUAAAUAUAUAAAUUAUUUAAUUUAUUUUUAAUGUGUAUUUUAUAUUUGAAUAUCUAUUUUUAUACUUGUAAUUAAUUUAGUAGCUGAUUUUUUGUGAUAUAAUUGUCUAUUUUGGAACAUUUCCAAAAUAAAAAAUAUAAAAAGAAAGAAAAAAAAAUGCAUAUUUCAUUGUUUUGCUUCCUAUUUUGAAAAUUGAAACAAAACAAGCAGAAUAGCAGAUAUGGAAUUACCUGUUUCUAGUGAUUAGAAAUCCAGGAAGUUUAGCAGCUUCAGUGAGCGCAGCCCUCCAUGCGUGGACUAUCUCAUUCUCAUAUGAGAAUCUAUGACUUUGAAAAGCUUCUUCAAAAGGACCACUCUGGUGGCGUACAUCUUCGGGAUCAACAUUGUAGAAUACCGGAAUGACAGUUUGACCUAUAGUGCUUCUACACUCCAUUAUUUUCAUCAACUCGUCCAGACACCAUCUAGAACCAGCAUAACUUUCUGUCAAAAUAACAACAAAAAGUCUAGAAGCUUCGAUUGCUUGAAUCAGUGUGUAUGUCAUCUGGUCUCCUCUCCCAAGCACCACCUCAUCGUCAAUGAAAACAUAAAUCCCAGCUCUCCUCAAAGCGUCAUAGAGAUGUGAGGUGAAUCCGUGGCGAGUGUCUUGGCCUCGGAAACUGAAAAACACAUCGUACUUCCAUGAUGGAUCGGGGAUUCUUUCUGCUGAUUGGUAGUAAGACAUGGGCGAUGAUGGAUUAGAAUGAAGAGCAAAGGGAUUCGUUGGGUAACUGGUGAACAAACUUUAUAUGAUUAUAAAGUCAACGCACAAAUCAGAUCACAGCAUUUGCAUAUGCAGCUCUAUCUACAGAUACUGCUUAACUUUUUGUUCAUAUGUUGGAGAUUAGAGAUUAGUACAUGUACAGUAGUAACAAACAAUAAAGAUUAGAUUAUUUUUAGCGGAGCUUGAAACAAAAUUUUGGGGAGCCAGGUAGAAGAUAAUUGUCAAAAUGCUUCUAAUAUAGACCCAUUUAAGAUUAGUUCGUCAAACCUCAUCUUUCUGAUUUGAACUUUUGGAGGUUGUAUCUCACUUUUUUCGUGAUUCAUUAAAGUAGAAGAACUGUCUACAGAUGUUGAUAUUGUAAAAGUUAUAUCUUCUCCUUCUUCAAUAUUAGCAUUCUUCUUAAAAAAUGCAUCAAUUCUUUGAUUUUUCAUGAUUAUUUUAUAUAAAAAUUUGAAUAUAUAUCCCGUAAAAUAUUUAAAAAAGAAGUUAGAAUGACAAAUAUUAAAAUUUAUAAUAUUUAUUAAAUUUUUUUUAUCAAUUUAUACAAAUACAAUAAUAUCAAUACUUAUUGAAUAUUCUAAUAUUUUUUAAAUAAACAGUAAAAUGUAAAAUGUAAAAUAAUAUUAAAUUACAUAAAUAAAAAAUACCUAAUUUUUUAUAUUUGAACUCAAAGGUAGAGAAAGUGUUGCUUAUUAAAUAGAGAGCUGCGAAAUACGAAUACACUCAGUUAAGUCCAAAUUCAACAUAUUUUGAAUAUUUAAAACUAAAAAUUAUUGUGGAUUACUACGCUCCCAGGACGACACCAUUCACCACUACCACACAAAGCAUUGAGUUGGUCCAAAUCAGUCACAUCGUCAAGCACAAUGAGUACCCUUUUAGCACCAAGCCUUUCCUUUAACAUUUGCAUCCCUGAAUCAAUGUUACGUAUGUGUAUCCUUGUUGCAAUGAAUAUAUCCUCAAGAAGUUGCUGUUGCAAGAGAACCUUUCCAUUAUCUUGCUGCCAUGUUUCUCUAAUGUUAAGGAGGAAGCUCCUGCCAUCAAAAUCGCGACCAAUUUUGUUAUAGAUGGCUUUGGCAAUAGUCGUUUUACCAACGCCCCCCAUGCCUUUUAUCCCAAGUAUCAGAACAUCUUUUAUCUUUUGAAUGUUUGAUUCUUCAAUCAACUUUUGCACACGAGGUUCUACUCCCACUGGAUGUGCUGCAACGAACAACUCUGUCUUAUCUAAUAAACGAGUAACGUGUUCAACAAUUCUUUUGAUAUCUUC